rnacentral:rRNA from 1 species
UACGUAGGUGGCAAGCGUUGUCCGGAUUUAUUGGGUUUAAAGGGUGCGUAGGCGGUUCUUUAAGUCUGUGCUGAAAUACUCUGGCUUAACCAGAGGGGUGGCAUGGAUACUGGGGAACUUGAGUAAAGUCGAGGUAGGCGGAAUUGGACGGUGUAGCGGUGAAAUGCUUAGAUAUCGUCAAGAACACCAAUAGUGAAGACAGUUUACUAGACUUUUACUGACGCUGAGGCACGAAAAGUGUGGGGGAUCAAAACAGG